rnacentral:lncRNA from 1 species
UUUCGAACAAUAAUUUAGCUUGUAAUUGGAAUUCCAGAGAACCUAAAUAACUAUAAAUAUACUUACAAAUUGCCUUCAAACACACCACAACUCAUUGGCAUCAUCAAAGUGUUAGUUAAAUCCUUCUAAAGUUUUUUAUAUCUUUUCUCUGUUGUGUCUUUUAUAUUCUCCUUCAAAAAAUCACCAAAAAUGGGUUUCCGAUUAAAUGUUAUUCGACGGGCAUCAUUAACUGCCAACCAAACAGCAUCAAAAUCUACAGAAGUGAGAAAGGGCUAUGUUGCAGUGUAUGUUGGAGAGAAACAGAAGCGCUUUGUGAUCCCAAUAUCAUAUUUGAACCAACAAUCGUUUCAAGACUUGUUGAGUCAAGUUGAGGAAGAGUCUGGAUACGACCAUCCCAUGGGUGGCCUCACCAUUCCUUGCACCGAAGAUGUGUUUCAACACAUAACUUCUCGUUUGAAUGAGUUAUGAAUCUGACAUUGUAUCUUACUGACAUAGAUUAGCACAUACAUUUUGUACAACAGGAAUUCUUUGUAAGUUGUAAAGAUUAUCCCUUUUCAUGGGAAAUAGAGAAAAAUUGUUAUCUGAAUGCAAAAUUGAAAAAUAAUUUGUCACCUCACCUUUGCUCUUGUGUAAUGAAAUUGAGCUCAAUUACUUUACCAAUUAGAAUUUUCAGUGCUCCCUGCUAUUUGAACAGAUAUAAAAAGAACAGACAAGAAUUUAUUUUUUUUCAGAAAUAAAAUAAAUGCAUCGAGCAUAAGUACAUAUAUUUCUUUAGGACAGCUUUUAAAAAUUUUUGAGUUUUAUGAACAGAUAUGUAGAAUUAAAAUUGAUGGCCCCAAUCAUAUUUUUAUUCUUCCUUUGUACUAUAUAUGAUAAAGAGCCAUCCCAAUGAGAUGUUACUGACACAGUUUAUAAUUCUAAUUUAUUUGUAUACAUUUUUUCACUNNNNNNNGAAUCGUUUGGAACCAGAAGGAGGAUAACCAGAAUCAUCAGAAACAAUACACCCAUUCUGACGCUUGUUGUGAAUCCAAACCGAAACAACAAUAACCUUUAGUGUGUGGAACAAAUGAAUUGAAGCAAUCAAAUCAAAAUGAAUGAGCAAUAAAUCAACAAAAGCUAAAACUACCAAAAGCGAUAAAAGACACGAUAAAAUUGUUUGCCUAGUUCAGCCUACUCUGGGGGAGAGAGAGCUCUCCGUUCCACUAUCAAUGAAAAACUUGAUUACAAAGAUUCAAUACAAGAGGUGCAAGAAUUUAGAGUUUGCCUAAAUUCUACCAUUUUCAAUAAUCUCUCCCCGUGAACAAGAGAUUCAAACAAUAAUGAUUACAAGGUGAAAGAAAAGAGAUUCAAACACUAGAACCCUAAAAUUCCACCUUCUCUCUCUUCCUGACGGCUGCAAAACGCAGCAAAAAGCAGGACACCUGCGCCUGGCGCAGGCCAGGCUGCGCCUGGCGUAGCUCACAGCACAAACAAACAUAUUUCCAGAUUUCUCAUUGCGCCUAGCGCAACCCCUGCUGCGCCUAGCGCAGGGCACGGUGACAAAAUCAGUUUUCUGCUUUUAACAAUUCAAAGGCAAUCUCAACAACGCUCAUGUUGAAGCACCAUAGAGAAAAUCUUGGUCAUAGAGGGUAAUGGAUCAAUCAACAGAAUUUGAGAUUUCACAACAUUGAAGUUAUCAUUCAAGCUAGUUAGAAAACGAAUAGCAUGAAGCAUAUAGUGAUUGUUACGAACUACACGCAUGGCAUCACAAGAACAACGAACACGACAUGUACAAGUAGGAAUUGGCAUAUAGAUUUCUAACUCUUCCCAAGGGAUCUUGAGCUCAGAGUAGAAUAGAGUUAACGUACGAGAUUCUAAUUUGAGAUUCUAAUUCCUGUACCUUUGCUUGUGCAUGUAAUGAAUUGUCUUGUCUGAGUUUCGCCAAAAUUAUGCAGGAUCUUUUGUAUUGUUUUACAGUCAUGCACUUCUUGUGCUUGGUCAUUUUUAAUAUAAUUUUCUUUUUCCUCUGCAAAAAAUAAAGAGACGUAUAAUUUAGACUUAAUAAACCAUAACUUUUGUUAUCUAAGCUCUUAUCCAAUACUUACCUUCUUCUCUGCAGAUUGGUUUUUUACCAAAUAGAAGCUUAGAUAUUCCGAUUGAUAUGAAAGUGAAAAUUUAAAGAAAAACAGUAAUGAUAAAAAUGAAUAAAUUUUUCAUUGAUAUGAACUUUUUACAACCAAGUAUAAUAACAAGAGAUUCCUCAUUGAAGGUUAGAAACUAAACAACUACAAAAAUUGUUCAUAUAUCUAUGUCAGUCUUAUACAAGAGGGUUAGCAGUUAUCUAAUUCAAGCUAGAAGUUAUUUCAACGAAAACAUCUUCACUGCAGGGAAUAGUUAUACCACCCAUUGGAUGGUCAUAUCCGAAUUGUUCCUCAGAUUGGCUCAGCAAUUCUUGGAAUGAUGUUUGGUUUAAGCAUGAUACAGGGAUAACAAACCGCUUCAUUUUCUCUCCAACAUACACUGCUAAAUAUCCCUUUGGAACAUCCGCACCUUUUGAAGAUGAUGUCUUUGAUUUGAUGAUACUAAGUAAACGAAAACCCAUUGUUGUAUAUUUGUGUUGAAAAAAAGAGACUGAUCUAAAAAAGAUAGACUUGUAUAUAGAAGACUCAAGUUUUUGAACUUCAAAUGAGUUGGGAUGUGAAUGAUUUGUGUUGAUCUUAUGCAUGCUGCAAUGAAUAUAUAUAUAUACAUGAACGGAUAUGUAAGAAACAGUAGGAAAGUUGAAGGAUGACCAUGUGAUGGAUGUUAAUCAUGCAAGGUAUGGGAAACAAGUGCAUAUGAAUGAUCACAUGGUGUGUUUUGGAGGACUUGCUCAAGUGUCAAUGUCAGAUUAAUUUAUGGUAGAAAAUGUCUCCCCUUGAAAAAAGGCUAAUGUCUAUGAUCCAUUACCAUACAGUUCGUUAGGCAGAUACCAGCUGGAAAUCAACACAUCAUCAUAAUGAAGAAAACAUGUCUAAAGCAUGUUUACACAAUUAUGAAGUACUAGUUAAUGCAUGAACAAAUAUGAGGUUGUACUUGAAAGGGUAGGGUACAAUCUUAAGACAACUCCACAUGAUAUAUCAUCAUACCCUUUUAACUCUUUCAAACAAUAAUUUAGCAUGGAGUUUGAAUUCCAGAGAACCUAAAUAACUAUAAAUAUACUUACAAUUGGAUUCAAACACAACACAAUUGUCAUUGGCUUCCUGAAGUGUUAGUUACAUCCUUCUAAAGCUUUUUUUGAUAUCUUUGCUCUGUUGAGUCUUUUCUUCUCCCUCAAACAAUCACCAAAAAUGGGUUUCCGUUUAAAUGUUAUUCGACGGGCAUCAUUAACUUCUAUCCAAACAACAUCAAAAUCCGCAGAAGUGAGAAAGGGCUAUGUUGCAGUGUAUGUUGGAGAGAAACAGAAGCGAUUUGUGAUCCCAAUAUCGUAUUUGAACCAACCAUCAUUUCAAGACUUAUUGAGUCAAUCUGAGGAAGAGUUUGGUUAUGAUCAUCCCAUGGGUGGCCUCACCAUGCCUUGCACCGAAGAUGUGUUUCAACACAUAACUUCUCGCUUGAAUGAGCUAUGAAUUUGAAACUGUAGCAAUAAUGAUAGAUUAGUAGAGACAUUUUGUACAAUAGGAAUCUUUUUAACUUGUAAAUUUUAUCCCCUUUCAUGGGAAAUUUAGAAAAAUAUUCAUCUGAAUACAAAGAAAACAAAACACUUUCAUAUCUUUUUCUUGUUUAAUGACACUGAGUGAGCUCACUUGCUUUAUCAAUUUCAUUAUUCUCUCAGCAAAUUGCUCUCUGAAAGGGAAAAAAGUAGACAUGAAUGUACUCAUAAAUAUAACAGUAGAAAUGGAUAAUAUUAACUGUAACAGUAGACAUGAAUGUUACUGUCACUUCUGAAUUUAAAAUUUAAACACAACAAUAAAUAA